UAUGAAGGUUAGGUUUGCCAGACUGAAAACCUGUCGAUCCCCAGGUGUUUUGGCUUACCAUUCCCAGAAACCCCAGCCAGUUUACCAGCUAUUAGGAUUUCUGGGAGUUGAAGAUCAAAACAUCUUGGGACCCAAAAGUUGAGAACCACUGCUCUACAUGAACAAUUUAUCAAGCACUCAUUUCCCCUAUAUGGUGUAAGGCCAAGGAUCCUACUGGAGAUGACCAUGCCUCAGAGUAUUCAGUGCACCAACCAUAAUGCCCCCGCCAACCUGAUCUAUGGACCAUCAACAAAAAAAAGGUACACACAUCCAACCCUAGCCAAACUUGUUCACAUAAUGAUAAACAAUGGUUGAAGUAUUUAAAGCCAACAUGGUGAUUCGAGAGUUCAACUAAGACACAGGGAGAUCAGAGUUUCAAUCCCUGCUCAGACCUGGAAGCCUACUAAGUGAUUUGGGGCAAGUUAAAUUCUUCCAGAGAAAGGCAAUGGAAAUCUGCCUUUGAAGCAAAAGAAACCCUUUCAUAGGUUCACCAUAAAUUAGACCUGACCUGAACCAAAAAUGGUUUCAGCAUUACUUUUAAAUCAGAACUUGAACAUGAAGUUUUGGUCUUCUGCUAUUUACUGAUUAUGCUGGCUGAAAAACCUGUUAACUGUAAUAGAUACGUACUUUUUUCAAGCUCUGGUCUGAACCUGUUAAUUGUAACCUAAAAUGUUUAGAUGCUGAUACAAUGUCAUGAAUCAUUAGACCGAGAAAGUGGAACAAUUGUCACACAGCCAUGACAUGAUUAUGUGAACAUUUGAUGACUCCUACCGCACUUUUUGCUCUUCUUUACGCACAAACACAAUUCUGUUCUCUCCACUGGCUAAUCUUUCCAGGAAGAAUGAGAAAAUAUGUUCAUCUGGGAUGAAAAGUGUUAAAUGUCAAGAUAAAAUGAAUAUUUUUAUUCAUGGUCUAUAGUCAAUAAAGUUGGCCAAAGCAAAUCCAUAAAUAAACAUCAGUGGGGAGAAACAUCUAGGAAAUCAAAGUACCUGCAGGAAUUACUUAUUCCUUCAUUAAUGUUAAGCAGGAAAUCUGGCAAAGUGCCACAUUUUUUUCAUUAAAACAAUCUCCCAAAAUAUCAAUUUACAUAAUAAAACUGUCAAGGCUACAGUUAUCAUUUAUUCUUUUAUUAUGAUCAUCUAACAAUUAUUGCUGUAAUGUAGGAUGGCCUAGAGACCAGUGAGGCAGAUCUAGGCUACUAAAAAUAAAACUUUAAAAGUCCCUCUGUUGUCGGUCUGGGACAUAUUUCCUUACAAACUCAGCCAUAAUGAUGACAUGGAAUAUUCCCAAAUAUUCUAGUAGUUGAGGGAACUGAACUGUUUGUAAAAAGGUGAGAAAGGCCUUUUGAUUUAAGCUUCCUGUACUAAGAAUGUCAUGCUCUGACAGCAGCCCCUACCUGCUUGACCUUAAUGGCUAUGAGGACAAACUUACAAAUUAAAGACAAUGUUUGAUAACAAUUCAAAUUGUGGGAACUUAACAGUUAAAUGUUUGAUUCUUUUCUAUUGACUUUCACAGUUACAGAAAAAUUUUAAAAUCUGAUGAUAACUUGUUCAAUAGUCAACAGUAGGAAUAUAAAACUUUCAUUAUAUUGCUUUACAUGUAAAAAAUCCGAAGUAUUAUCCCUCCUGGGUGAAAUUACAAGAAUUUGUAUCCCCUUUUGAGACUUUGUAGACCCUAGGAUGUUUCUGUGAAAAAUUUAGGAAGAUUUUUGGGGUAUUUAAAAUUGCACUUUGUGAAAAAAUGCAAUAGUUUUGCACAAAAAUAUAUACUGUUAGUUUAAGAAAGCAACAAAAAUGAAAAAGACAUGGUUAGUAAGUUUUUGUUCUGUGCUGCAGCAUGUCCACUGAGUUACCCUUUCUGAUCUAUGAGAAAAAAUGGGAAUAUUAUUUCCAUCCUUAGUCAGCAUCAUGCUCUCCAUCUCUGUGUUCUUUCUGAUGAGUAACAGAAAUCAAGUUUGUAAAUACUACUAACAUAUCUAUGGGACAUAUGUUUCAAGAUCCUCCCUGGAUAGCUGAAGUUGUGAAUAAUAGUGAACACUAUAUUUUGAGAAUAUUUGGGUCAGAUGCAUACCAUAGAAUCAAACUGGAGGACCUAGAGAAGCCCAUGAACAUUUCCGGAGGGGAGGGGUAUAUUUUUGAAGUGUGGCUAAGUGAAACUAUGGGUAUCAAAUCUGUGGAUAAAGGGAUUGUAUUGUACAUGAAAACCAGUUUGCUUUGCAUGGUUUACAUAGGUCACAGAAUUCAGACUUUCUACUUGCCUAGACUGGUUCAUCAAUGUACGAUAUUCAAUGGCUACUGACCCUGAUGGUUUUUUUUUGCCAUCUUUCAGUGCAGAGGCAUUACAUCCCUGAGCACCAAUAGUUUGAAAGAGCACUUGGAUAUGGUUAUUGCCAUCAUAUUCUAUUUUUAGGUUGCUCAAAGGAACCCGAUUGGCCAUUAAGGGAGAGGAGAAGUUGGAUUCCAUAGCCCUCUUGUUAUGGUUGAGCCUUCGGGUUCCGGUAAUAGAAGAAGGGGUCGUAAGACUCCUCGAGAGUCAGACUCCUUCAAGGAGCGUGAAAGAAAGCGGCUCCGGGAUUUGUUUGCAGCCCCGACAGAUGAGGACUCAUUUGAGGGUUUUUCUGAGGGUUUGGAGGAAGAGAUGGCCAGCUCGGAGGAGGACGACAUGGAAUGGACUCGUGUGAGGGAGGAUUUGGGUGUUGGGGAAACAGGCAAUGAAAGCAUGGGAGGUGAUUGGCGGGUUGCAGGAUCAGACCCAUGGACUGGCUGGAGGGAUGGAGCGGGAUCCACAGCUGGGGAUGCUGUGGGGCGUAGUCAAAGGUGCUUAAGCUCUGAUGAGGAUGAUGAUGUUGGGGCGCCUGGAAUUGGGAUGGCAGCUGACAGCGAUGAUGAGCUUGAACUGGGAUAAAAUGGGGUUUGGGAUCAAUGUCUAAUUGCGUUGGGCAAGGUAAUCUGGACAGACGCUUGGGCUUUUGUUGGGGAACUUCCUGAAGACGGGUGUGCUUCGUUACUGGAUACCUUGGACCUCCGUCGUCUUUUUGACGGGCAAUACCUACUCACACUGGAUUGACGCUGGACUGACUGACUUCGAUUCCGGAUUAUCCCUUCUGCUGGCUAUCGGUGAGACCUUUGGAUUCCUUGACGACUACGCUUGGCUAAAGACCUCUGGACCGGAUUGGGACCCUGCUGACUGCCGUUACCCUGACUACGACCACGCUUUUCGUUCGCUGCAGGAAGGAAUAAACAAGCCUGGUUUAUCCCCCUGCUGUUUCUGAAUAGCAGAGAGGAAUCUGCCACCAGUCUGUUGUUUACAUUCUCAUUCCUGCUGAUUCUCUUUUGUUUGCAUUGUUUGCCAGGCUGAAGUAAGCACUUUUGAUUUAAUCCGGAUUAUACUUCUGUUUAACCCGGUUUAUCCAUUUGAACUAUUUAAGCUCAAACUGAGCUGUUUUUUGUUACUUGUCACACUGAAGUCAAGUGUUUGCCCUGUUCUUUGUUUCCUACGGGCAUUUUUUAGUUCUGUAACCUCAAUAAACUGAGUUUUGUUUUA